GUCCACGCCCUAACGAUGUCAACUAGCCGUUGGAUCCAAUUAAAGGGUUUAGUGGCGCAGCUAACGCGAUAAGUUGACCGCCUGGGGAGUACGGCCGCAAGGUUAAACUCAAAGGAAUUGACGGGGCCCGCACAAGCGGUGGAGCAUGUGGUUUAAUUCGAUGCAACGCGAAGAACCUUACCAGGCCUUGACAUCCUGCGGACUGUCUAGAGAUAGACGGGUGCCUUCGGGAACGCAGUGACAGGUGCUGCAUGGCUGUCGU
rnacentral:rRNA from 1 species